ACAUAACUGAUGCCUCCGCGUAUCGACUUUGUGCGCAUUUUAGCUAUUAUGUGUUCUUUUAAUUAAAAUGAUUCUUUUUAAGAUUCAUCUAUUAAAAAUUUGCUUCGGCAUAAUUUUUUUUGAUGAUCUUGUUACUUUGAGUAAAUUAGGGUGUUCAAAGCAAACAGAUAUAGCAUUUGUGCGUUUGAAUACUACAGCACGGAAUAACAAAAUUGAACAAGUCAGAAUUUUUUUGUUCUUUUUUCUUAUUUUGACUUAGUUACGAUUAAUAGGAGUAGCUUGGGGGCAUUUGUAUUCAGAUGUCAGAGGUGAAAUUCUUAGAUUUUCUGGAGACAAACAACUGCGAAAGCAUUUGCCUAAAAUACUUCCAUUAAUCAAGAACGAAAGUUAAGGGAGUGAAGACGAUCAGAUACCGUCGUAAUCUUAACCAUAAACUAUGCCGACUAGGCUUUGGAUGAAAGAUUUUAAAAUAAGAGUUUUUCUUUUCUCUCCGGAGAUUAGAACUCUUAGAUUGCUUCCUUCAGUGCCUUAUGAGAAAUCAAAGUCUUUGGGUUCUGGGGCGAGUAUUCGCGCAAGCGAGAAAGUUAAAAGAAUUGACGGAAGGGCACCACCAGGCGUGGAGCUUGCGGCUUAAUUUGACUCAACACGGGAAAACUCACUAGUUUAAGACAAGAGUAGGAUUGACAGAUUAAUAGCUCUUUCUUGAUUUCUUGGAUGGUGAUGCAUGGCCGUUUUUAGUUCGUGAAUAUGAUUUGUCUGGUUAAUUCCGAUAACGAACGAGAUCUUAACCUGCUAAUUAGCGGCAAAUACGAUAUAUUCUUAUGUAGAAUUGAAUAUAGUGGAUUUGUUGGAUUUUGAAGAAAAUAUUGGAAUUACGUUAAAUGUGAUUCCUUUCCCUUUUCUACUUAAUUUACAUUUCCAUCUAUUUCUUUUUUGCGUAUGAAUGUAUUUGCUUGAUUGUAAAGCUUCUUAGAGGAACGAUGUGUG
rnacentral:rRNA from 1 species